UCCCAGGUGGCUAAAUGGUAAAGUAUCUGCCUCCCAAUGUAGGACCCGGGUUCAAUCCCUGGGUUGGGAA
rnacentral:tRNA from 1 species